GAUGAACGCUGGCGGCGUGCCUAACACAUGCAAGUCGAGCGAACAGACGCGGAGCUUGCUCCUCUGACGUCAUCGGCGGACGGGUGAGUAACACAUGCUUAACCUACCUUUCAGACUGUGAUAACUUCGUGAAACCGGAGCUAAUUCCUGAUACUUUCUUUAACCUCAUGGUUUAAAAGUGCAAGACGGUUUUGCUGUCACUUCUAGCUGGAUUCGCGCUGCAUUAGCUAGUUGGUAAGUUAACGGCUUACCAAGGCACCGAUGCGUAGCUGACCUGAGAGGGUGAACAGGCACACUGGAACUGAGACGCGAUACAGACUACGAGGGGAGGCAGCGGAAGGGAAAGGAGGGCAAUGGGAGAAAGACUGACGGAGAAACGCCACGUGGGUGAUGAAAGGCUGCGGAUAGGAAGACUCUGUUAUUAGGGAAGAACGAAUGUGUAAGGGACGAUGCACGUCUUGACGGUACCUAAUGAAGAAGCCACGGCUAACUACGUG
rnacentral:rRNA from 1 species